AUGUGGCGGCAUCAUACAUCAAGAAGCUCAAAGAGCAGGUUGAGAAGCUACAACACAAGAAUACAAGCCAUGGCUACCGUACUGGGAGUUAGUGGCAUCGCGACGCCCAUUAUCACUGCAACCACGAGCGGCGGCGCAGGGUCACCAGAAGGAGGAACAAAAUUGGAGGCAUCGCCACUAGUAGUGGAGGUGCGGCAACCCGGCGAUGCAAGCAUGGAGGUGAGACUGAUAUGCAGCACAGAGAGGCCUAUCAAGCUCCAUGAGGUGAUUACCAUUCUUGAGGAAGAAGGGGCUGUCAUCAUCAACGCUAAUCACUCUGCUGCUAGCCACAGAAUAUUCUACACUAUACACUCCCGGGCCUUAAAGCACUAG
rnacentral:rRNA from 1 species